GACGUAGGGCGCGAGCGUUGUCCGGAUUUAUUGGGCGUAAAGAGCUCGUAGGCGGCUUGGUAAGUCGGAUGUGAAACCUCCAGGCUCAACCUGGAGUCGCCAUCCGAUACUGCCAUAGCUAGAGUCCGGUAGGGGCCCACGGAACUCCUGGUGUAGCGGUGAAAUGCGCAGAUAUCAGGAGGAACACCUGUGGUGUAGACAGCUUUCUGGACCAUUGCUGACGCUGAGACACGAAAGCGUGGGUAGCAAACAGG
rnacentral:rRNA from 1 species